GUGCCAGCAUCCGCGGUAAUACGGAGGGUGCAAGCGUUAAUCGGAAUUACUGGGCGUAAAGCGCACGCAGGCGGUCUGUCAAGUCGGAUGUGAAAUCCCCGGGCUCAACCUGGGAACUGCAUUCGAAACUGGCAGGCUAGAGUCUUGUAGAGGGGGGUAGAAUUCCAGGUGUAGCGGUGAGAUGCGUAGAGAUCUGGAGGAAUACCGGUGGCAAAGGCGGCCCCCUGGACAAAGACUGACGCUCAGGUGCGAAAGCGUGGGGAGCAAACAGGAUUAGAUACCCUGGUAGUCCACGCCGUAAACGAUGUCGACUUGGAGGUUGUGCCCUUGAGGCGUGGCUUCCGGAGCUAACGCGUUAAGUCGACCGCCUGGGGAGUACGGCCGCAAGGUCAAAACUCAAAUGAAUUGACGGGGGCCCGCACAAGCGGUGGAGCAUGUGGUUUAAUUCGAUGCAACGCGAAGAACCUUACCUACUCUUGACAUCCAGAGAAACUUUCCAGAGAUGGAUUGGUGCCUUCGGGAACUCUGAGACAGGUGCUGCAUGGCUGUCGUCAGCUCGUGUUGUGAAAUGUUGGGUUAAGUCCCGCAACGAGCGCAACCCUUAUCCUUUGUUGCCAGCGGUCCGGCCGGGAACUCAAAGGAGACUGCCAGUGAUAAACUGGAGGAAGGUGGGGAUGACGUCAAGUCAUCAUGGCCCUUACGAGUAGGGCUACACACGUGCUACAAUGGCGCAUACAAAGAGAAGCGAACUCGCGAGAGCAAGCGGGCCCCAUAAAGUGCGUCGUAGUCCGGAUUGGAGUCUGCAACUCGACUCCACGAAGUCGGAAUCGCUAGUAAUCGUAGAUCAGAAUGCUACGGUGAAUACGUUCCCGGGCCUUGUACACACCGCCCGUCACACCAUGGGAGUGGGUUGCAAAAGAAGUAGGUAGCUUAACCUUCGGGAGGGCGCUUACCACUUUGUGAUUCAUGACUGGGGUGAAGUCGUAACAAGGUAACC
rnacentral:rRNA from 1 species